GGAAUUACUGAAAUAAAUCAACUUUUUGAUGAUAUUCAAAUUUUAUGACCAACACCUGUGUAUCUGUCUGUUCAUCUGUUUGAUUUCUGACCUGUUUAAUUACGUGCUCUAGUUAUCCGCAUCAUAUUCAGAAAAAUAAACAGAUUGUAUAAUUACUACUGUAGCAGAUGUUGUUGAAGUGUGAAAUAAAACAUUUUGGAAAGUGUUGUUUUUCUAUUGUGUAGGGGCUGACAUAGCAGGGGCUUGAUAGGGAUUUUUGAGUGGAGCAGGUUUAUCCAGGACUGUGGGUCGGUGUUCUGUAGCAGACAGACAGGAGCAGAGGGAGGUCUAUCAGAUAACACAGGAGCAGAGGGAGGUCUAUCAGAUAACACAGGAGCAGAGGAAGGUCUAUAGCAGACAGCAACAGUGGGAGAAAGGUUUCUUGGAAGUGAAACUCUUUACAUGCAGCGGGAGUGAGAUGGGCCCAAUAGGUCAGACAGACAGAUGACAGAGAAGUCCAGAGGUCUUCACAUGUAGUCAUCCCAAAGAAGGUGAUUCAAUAGGUAAAUCAAUUGCUCUGAGGCAGGAUGUUGACAGCAGGAAGGUCUGAUCAAGAUCAGGGGAGGUAACUGUGUGGGGUCAUGUGUUUUUGCCUCUAGUCACCACAAGGGGGUGUGCACUGCUAUAGAACUGAAUAGCAUUGCCAAUAACAGGUGUUCAGGAUAGUUUCUAGCUAGGGGCUGUAGAAUUGAUUAACAUUGCCAAUAACAGGUGUUCAGGAUAGUUUCUAGCUAGGGGCUGUAGAAUUGAUUAACAUUGCCAAGAACAGGUGUUCAGAAUACAGUUUAGGGGCUGCUAUCAAUUGGUCCAAUUCCCACUUCCAUGCUCUGUCCUCGUCAUAACCUGUCCUCUGUCUUCCAUGCUCUGUCCUCGUCAUUACCUGUCCUCUGUCUUCCAUGCUCUGUCCUUGUCAUAACCUGUCCUCUGUCUUCCAUGCUCUGUCCUUGUCAUAACCUGUCCUCUGUCUUCCAUGCUCUGUCCUCAUCAUAACCUGUCCUCUGUCUUCCAUGCUCUGUCCUCGUCAUAACCUGUCCUCUGUCUUCCAUGCUCUGUCCUCGUCAUUACCUGUCCUCUGUCUUCCAUGCUCUGUCCUCGUCAUAACCUGUCCUCUGUCUUCCAUGCUCUGUCCUCGUCAUAACCUGUCCUCUGUCUUCCAUGCUCUGUCCUCGUCAUUACCUGUCCUCUGUCUUCCAUGCUCUGUCCUCGUCAUAACCUGUCCUCUGUCUUCCAUGCUCUGUCCUCGUCAUUACCUGUCCUCUGUCUUCCAUGCUCUGUCCUCGUCAUAACCUGUCCUCUGUCUUCCAUGCUCUGUCCUCGUCAUAACCUGUCCUCUGUCUUCCAUGGUCUGUCCUCGUCAUAAACUGUCCUCUGUCUUCCAUGCUCUGUCCUCGUCAUUACCUGUCCUCUGUCUUCCAUGCUCUGUCCUCGCCAUAACCUGUCCUCUGUCUUCUUUUCACCUUAACUUGGAAUUGGAUAAAAGUGGUUUAAGGGUUGAGUGUAUGACAAUGUAUUGUGGAUCCAAUGGAAGUUUUGAAAUGAUUGGUUCGUAUCAGUGUUCUGAUUGAAACGUCAUGCCUGUGACAUCACAGCUAAUCUUUUUUAUGAAGAGUCUGUGAAUAUUCAGGAGGGUCUUUCCAUCAGCAUCCAAUACAGUCAAUUGACGUCCCUUUAUUAAAUAUUCUAAACCUUAUUCUCAUAGCGAGAUGCAUCCACCAACAUGAAGACAGCCACACUGUAACCCGGCAACACGGUUGAGAAAUACUCAGUUCCGUUUGCUGCUGCCAAUGAAUGGAAUGAGUUGCAAAGACCCUUAAGCACGACACUCUUGUCUCACUCCUUCAAAAACGAAAAUAAACAAGCUGAUAUCUGACUGUA